rnacentral:misc_RNA from 1 species
UCUCUCCCUCUCUCUCUCUCUCGCUCUCUCUUGGUUAUCUGCAUAUUUCCCCCCUAUUUAUUUGUAGUUACGAGAGCGGGAGGUAGCGGUGAUGGAUUGAAGUAGUGAAUCUGACGGAGAUUAUGGAAUAUUAGAACCUCUUUUUUCUAUUAUUUUUUUAAUUUCGUUUUCUAUUGAGCAUCAUAUUCGUUCACUUCUUUGUUGUCGUUCGUCAAUGCUUUAGCUAAGAAUAAAAUUUGAUUAAAAUUUUGUUGAUAGAUGGGAAAGCAAGAUUGUGUUUGGCCCUUUUUUUAAGGAGUCCUGCCUCCCUGAAUAUAUUUUGUUGAUUUUUUUGGAGCCAAAGUUUGUAAGUGCUUAUUUUAUAUUACAUAGCGUGUUCGAGUUCAGGAGGCUCUAAUAGUUCUUGUAAUUUGACAUGCAAUGAAUGCUUUGAUUUCAAAGUGAACCGAAUUUUUUGUUAUAGAACGUGGAAGCCCUCAAGAGUUGAGGAAAUCUUGCUUGGUGUUAAUAGUCUUUGGGUACUUCAUUAUUCUUUAAUUUAUGAACUAGGAUAAUUUAAUGGUUUUUAUUGUUGGACUUGGAUGGAUCUUUGGCUAUUGUAUAUGGUAACAUUCCAUAGACCACCUCACUAGAUUGGGGUGGUCUAUUUCUCUCUUUGCCUCAUGCUAUCUGUUAUUGUCCUUCUUUCUGCUUAAAUUCUAAUACUGCAAUUAAGUUUUCUUCUGUUUCCAUAUUGCUUGUUCUUGUCAUGAAGGUGUACUCCGUGAAACUGUUUGUUCAUUUUGAUAAACGAGGGCCAAGUGUUUGCUUAAACAAACUUCAAAAUUCUGUCAUUCAUGUGAUUGAACCAUUGAGGGUUGAUUCUAAGAUGGGCAUCUCAUCAGUCGAAAAACUUGUGCUUCAUACUGAACUUGUGAUCAUGAUAAGAAGCUGUUUACAUAUGUUUUUAUGUGGUAACUUCAUAUCAACUGCCACCUGCACCUGUCUCUUCCAUUCAACUUGACACCUGAUUCUUUGUAACUUGGCCAAGCUUAUAGGGUGGGUUGACCUUAGAACAUGGUUAGUUGGAGCCUUGGAGGUCUUCAAAGCUUUAGAUUGUCUGACUUUCAGCACAGCUGAUACUUGAUAACUUUGGAUUUGGUUAUUUUACUGAUCUAUUUGUGGUGUUUGGCAAGUAGUAUUUCUGCAGGUGUUUGUUCUAUGACAUUUUUCCUCUUUCCUGUUUUCCUGUUUUUGUGGUAAGUAGUACUUUUGUAGGGAUUUAUUCUCUGGCAUUUUUCCUUUUUCCUAUUUUGGUUAAAAAUAAUAGAUUACUUUUAUAAACAUACUGAAACUGUAAAAUGGGAAAUUGAUAGCUAAAUCAGUGCUUUGGAGGUGAGAGUGGCUAAUGUGUCUUAUAGUUAGAAGAGCAAAGUUGAAGAGGUAGUUAGCAUAUGCAAACUUCACAUUUUUAGAUGAUUAAGAGCAAAGUUGAGGAGGUGCCAUUGGGUGUGGCAAAAAUAUUUGGUGUGCAAGUCCAAGGACACAUGUUUAGUAUUUGCAGCCAUCUCAAAUACUGAAAGGUAGUGGCUCCAGAUUUACCCUGAUAUUUUCCUUUGAUAGGACCUUAACAUGGUAAAGGCCUUUAAAGGCAAAGCUGGAGAUUGUGUUAUUUGUUUACUGCUGGAUUCAGAUUUUAUUGAUUUAUGUAAGGAAACUAGGAAACUCUAAGUAAUAAAACUAAUAAAUAUUGCAAGGCAGGGAUUUAGAUUGACUAGAUAAUACACUGGUUUAAAAUAAAUAUCCGGAUGCACAUGCUUGGUGCAUAAUUUGUAAUCUUGAACUGUCUGCUGGAGUAUGCAUAAUUCUUUGUCAUUCUAAUAUGUUGUUCUUGGUUAUAUUGGUUUGUUUUUGUUUUUAGUUUGUUUUUGGAAAAUUUAUGCCCCUCACUGGAUUUGUGUAAUCAUAAAAGCUUAGUUUGAUAUGCAAAUGGCAUUGAACUAAAGAUUUCAAUUGUUCUUUGUUUAACUUUGCAGGGGUGGGCAAGAGUUGCCUUCUUUUACGCUUCUCAGAUGGUUCCUUCACUACUAGUUUUAUCACCACCAUUGGGUCUGUGUUGCCUGAACUAUGAGGUUAUUUGGGUCUCUAUUUCUCUUAGAGGAAUUCUCUGACUUGCCAAGAUUACUUUUCCUUAUGCAGUAUUGAUUUCAAGAUAAGAACCAUUGAGCUUGAUGGAAAAAGAAUUAAGCUUCAAAUUUGGGAUACAGCUGGUCAGGAACGGUUCCGAACAAUUACAACAGCUUACUAUCGUGGAGCAAUGGGUAUUUUGCUAGUUUAUGAUGUUACUGAUGAAUCAUCUUUCAACAACAUCAGGAAUUGGAUUCGCAAUAUUGAACAGCAUGCUUCUGAUAAUGUUAACAAGAUAUUGGUGGGGAACAAGGCUGACAUGGAUGAGAGUAAAAGGGCUGUCCCAACAUCCAAGGGCCAAGCACUUGCUGAUGAGUACGGGAUCAAGUUCUUUGAAACUAGUGCAAAGACAAAUCUAAAUGUUGAGGAAGUUUUCUUUUCCAUAGCAAGGGAUAUAAAGCAAAGACUUGCUGAUACGGACUCAAAGGCUGAGCCUACAACAAUUAAGAUCAAUCAACCAGACCAGGCUGGUGGGGCUGGUCAAGCUGGCCAAAAAUCAGCUUGCUGCGGAUCUUAGAACAAAUUAUUUUUUAGUAGGGCAUUAAUUGCAGGUAACACUUUUGUCUGAAUAAGGAGGGAAUGUAUUUAACAAAAAAAAAGAGAGAAAAACUAAUUCUGAUGAAAGGAUGAUGUGUGCUAGCAAAUUAUCUGUGUCAUUCUUUUUGAACCUGGUUUUAGUGUGUGAAAGGUAGGUUGUUGUUGAAGAUUAGAUUUUUAUGGCUUUACAGUCGUGGCGCACUCUUUCUUUUCCCCUUCUUGGCCGACUGAUUUCUUCUUUGUUUGUGAUGUACUAGAGAUAUUGUUAGUUUCUUUGUAAUGUGUAAAGACAAUUACUAAAAGCUUUAUUUAGAAUAUAUAAAAUAUUCUUGAGUUUGAACCUUCUUUGCG